ACAUGGAUACAACCUGAGUAUAGGAUGGAGAGGCACACAGCAUUAACACCCCAACAGAUCUUGUGUCUCCAUUAGGUUUCCAGACAUUCCCCAAAUCUAUUUUAGGUUCAGCACGAAGCAAAACGUAUCUCUAGCUCCAGUUCUCUCAUACAACAACUUUGGCUGUUCUUCUACCUAGCAACCAGGUGAGAUCAGGGUGGGGGAAAGGCCAACCCAUUUGUUUCUAUGGCAGUGGUGCUUACGCUUUUGAGAUGUAGAUGUCAGGUACUUAGCUGCGUAGCUACAGUCAUUACCUUGACAAGAGGUCUGAAAGGCAGCAGCACGGCAACAGGCCUUUUUUUGCUGUGGCUCCAGCUUGUGGAAUGCUCUCCCUAGGAAGACUCGCCUGGCACCUUUAGGUGCCAGCCAAAAACAUUUCUUUUCUCUCAGGGCUUUGGCUAAUUAAACCAUCUAUGGACUUUUAAACUGUUUCUGUUUGCUAUUAUGCUAUGUAUUUUUGUAUUUUUAUAUCUGUGAUCUUCAGAUCAAACAUGGUACAGAACUUUAAUUAAUAAUAGGAGUAAUAAUAAUAAUAAUAAUAAUAGUUUGGUUGGUCCAUCAGGUUCCCUCUUAUACAUUCUAGCCUCACUGAUACAGAGUCAUAGGUUUUAGAAGGUACGCAGGCUGACUCCUAAAAUUCAUGACAAUAUAAUUUCCACAGCAUGUGUGGUUCUACCUGGCAGGAUACAUACACCAAAACCACACCUUGAGCCUAUCAUGUUUAUUCAAAGUAAAACACAUGUUGUUCACUAAAGCCGACUCUCAUCCUAAGCACACAUAAUAUCAAAAUCCUAGUUCUAUUAUACAUAUUUUAUUUAGCAGAACAAAGUUAGCAUAGAUGAAUUCACUGCAAAUUCUGCUCUCCACAGGACAUCAUCAGUAUACAGAUUUUAAACACCUUUCGUAAGUUGUGUGGUGCUUUUAUCCCUUACUGAAACCACCUUAAAUCUGACUCUCCCAAUGUACUUAGCUGUGCAAUGAUUGCUCUCACAUGGAUGUUUUUGUCUGUAUUAAAACCAGACCUCCAGUUAAUAAAGGACCAGGUAGAAGUUGUUUUCCUUUGGGUCUGUCUUCUUUCUUCUUAGAGAAUUGCAGGGGAGAAGGAUGAGAAACAUCCAUUUUAAUCUCUCUUCAGUCCCUGACCUCUCAAAAUGGAGGCCUUAGCCGGACUGCCUCUUCCUACGGCAUGAGAGAAUAGAUCGGGUGACUAGAACCCCAGUAAACUCUCCACACAAUCAUGUACAAAGCUACACCUAUCGGAGCAGGAAAUGCUAUUUGUUGUGAAUGUUUAUUUCACCUCUUCUGGUAGUUUCAAGACUCGUAGCAGCUCCCAAGUUGGACUCGUACAUCUCCUGAAAGGCCAAGCAUACUAACACCCAGGUAGCAAUUACUUGCUUCCUGAUGUUUGUUUUGUUCGUGCAUGGCAGGUACCCUUGCAGAAAGUGUACCUGUGGAUAGAUAGAGAGCUGCAAAUACGCUGCAAACCAGCCCUUUUGUCCUCAUUUGGCCUGGACGUCUACAACUGUGGAGAUCAGAACAACAGUCAUAAAGGCCUUGAAACCUCCCUCCUUGGCUGCUGACUACUGGAAAAUUGAAAGGGUCCUAGGUUUCUGAGGGGAAAUGAUGUUUUCCUCCCCCCACUUAUAUUUUAUUAAAUUUUUAAAGAUUCACAUAUACAUUCCUAUACAUAAUAUUUCUUUUCUUUUCUUUUGUUGGCUUCCCAUCCCAUUUUCCACGGUGUUUUUUUAUUUCUCCCCCUUGCUGCACCCUGUCUUCUCUCUCUUAUACCACAACAAUAAUACAAGAAUCUCUUAAUUCCUUCUGUUGCUCAUAGUUCAAAUCCUGCCUGCGAAUUCAUCAUACAGUAAUAUUUCUUUAAAUAGGUUUCCAUUCUUCCACAAAACAAUCGUCGUUGGAGGGGAAAUGAUCUGUUACAGCUUGUAUGGCAUUGCCUGAAAUCAAAGGAGGAAAAGAAAAGCAGACCUGCUUCGAUAAUAACAGCACACAUUACUACUACUACUUUAGGUUUCUGUUUACCUUUCAUUAUGAGAACCCAGCGCAGGUUACAACAAUAUAAAAAUUCUAUAUUCGAGUUUAAUGUGCAAUCGGGAGAAUAGGGUGGUCCUUAAAUAUAUGUGUGUCAGGUGUCAAGGGCUAGGGAAAACAGGUAUAUUUUUGCCAUAUAACAGAAGCUAUGCAACAAGGAUGCCAGAUACACCACUGUAGAAAAGGCAAUUCCAUAGCUCAGGGGCCACCACAGGGAAUGCUGUCUCCUAAGCCAGCCACUCCAAAACUUCUGUGGUCCCAAUCUUCACAGUGAUGUAUUACCAGGCAUCUCCUUCAGUUGGAAGUGUUAAAAAUAAACAUGAGUAUGCAAUUCUAGUGGGAAUAUAGGCUUCUUAAGGUAAGCAUGGCAGCAAUGGUUUUAAAAACCAAGUUCAGGCUGAAUGUGUGGUGCGUUCAUGAAAGUGUUAUGGCACUGCUGUACAGUGGUACCUCGGGUUACAUACGCUUCAGGUUACAUACGCUUCAGGUUAUAGACUCCGCUAAACCAGAAAUAGUACUUCGGGUUAGGAACUUUGCUUCAGGAUGAGAACAGAAAUCGUGCUCCGGCGGCACAGCGGCAGCAGGAGGCCCCAUUAGCUAAAGUGGUGCUUCAGGUUAAGAACAGUUUCAGGUUAAGAACGGACCUCCGGAACAAAUUAAGUACUUAACCCGAGGUACCACUGUAUUUUAAUUUCAGUUUGUGUGACUUUUGGCAGCAAACCUCCCUCCCCCUAGUUUCUUCUAUCAAUACUCGUUAUGUCAAAAGUUUUUGUCCAGCUGGAACGUUUGCAGAUCACAGAUUUGUCAAAGUAUAUAUAUUAUAAUCUCAGAAAUAUUCUCUGCCUUGAAAUUAUUUUUGUUCCAAAAAUACCAUCAAAUCUCUCACAUGAGAAUGCUGCACUGUGCUACGGAUGUUGUCACUGGAUAACUUGUACGUACUCUCUUGAAAAGGAAUUGUAAGACCCGGGGGACCAGAAGUGCUGACUGCACUAACCUGCUCCCAUCAGCCAAAGGCCUUGUCUUCCAAGGCUUCAAGCUCCCCAAGAAGUUAUUUGGAAAAAAGGGAAUGUAUUGCCCAGGGGCCAAGAGCCUCGCUGACUGAGUCAAGCUUGACUGGGUGUAAGAGCUGCUAUCCCACAGAUAGAAUUGCAGUUUUGUGUAAUUUUCCCCCUGCUAUAAUUGGUCCCUCGGGAAACACAUAGCACUUCCUGUUAAUUUUACUGAAACCAGUGUUUGGAAAGUACUUUCAGAGACAUACAUGGGAAAGCACCGGAGAAUAUCAAGUACAGCCAUUAAUGGAAAAAGCCACCCCAUAUUUCCACAGUAUUUUCAGGAUUGGUGUUUUAUUUUUCAUAAAAUAAUAAUAAUAAUAAUAAUAAUAAUAAUAAUAAUAAUAAUUAUUAUUUUCAUUUGUAUCCCGCCCUCCCUGACCAAGGCUGGGCUCAGAGUGGCUAACAUAAUAAAAACAACACAAUAUGCAUAAAAACAGACAUCAAUUAAUGAAAAUACAUCUUAAAAUUAAUUCAGACAAGUUAAAAUCUGGGCAGGUGGCAAUUAUCAGGUUUCAUUUGAGAGUGGUUAAUACUUGCCAGGACCAACUGUUUCCACUCACUGGCAGAGGAACACGGUGGGGUGCCACUGCGGCUGUCCCCCCGGGCGCCACGCCCCUGCAGGCAGCACGCCAUGCCCCCAGGAAGCAUGCCACACUCCCAGGGCACGUGCCACACCCCCGGGACACGCGUCAGCCACACCCACGCCUGCUCUCUGCCCCCCGCCGGAGCUUGAAGCUCCGCCACUGUUUCCACUGAGCAUACAAGGACCUGUGAGCUGGUUGGGGGCCUCCUUCGGGUUUGUUUUAUACAAUGGAAGGUAAGUCAAACUGCAUCCUGCCCAAAGGCCUGGUGGAACAGUUCUGUCUUGCAGGCCCUGCGGAAAGAUGUCUUCAUCAGCAUCAGCCUCCCCAUCAAUCAGGUCACAGGCCCAUCUAGUCUAGCAUCCUCUUCCUCGUGAUUCCCAGUUACUGACAUUCAGAGUCCUACUGUCUCUAACAGUGGAGGUAGAACAUAACCACUGUGGCAAGUAGCCACUGAUAGCCCUAUCUGUGAAUUUCUUUAAAGCCAUCCAGCUUUUAAAGCCAUUAUCUUUAUAGUACUCCAUAUUAAGAUCGGGCAUGGGCUGAAGUGGAAAAUUAGAAUUAUUGACAACAGUGACCCAGUGAGCUUCAUGGCUGAGAGGGGAUUUGAACCUGUGCCUUCCUAGUUCUGGGCUGAUCUGAAAUUCUAACAACUAAACCACUCCCUUGACUCAGAAAAUUUUGCUGCGCAGGCACUGGUUGUAUUAUGUGUGCACACAAGAGUCAAUUGUCUCCAGUACGACUUUACAGGUUAGGAUUGGCUCUGUACAGUCCAAAAAAGCAGCAAUGUUAGCAAAAUCACUUAAAUAACACCACCCGACCCCACCCCACUCACCAUUUCCCCCUCCACCUCUUUCCCCCUUUUUUUCCUAACCUAACACUGUAUGUAACACUAAUGUCUCACAACAAAUGAAACUGAUCUGUAGAAAACACAGCUUGAAAAAAGAGACAAUGCACAUAUUUUUGCAAACUAAGAAAUCUUUAAUAAAAUAUAUACUGUAUUUUUCGCUCCAUAAGGCGCACCGGACCAUAAGGCGCACGUAGUUUUUAGAGGGGGAAAUCAAGGGAAAAAAUCUUUCCCCCCCCCACCAGUCCCAAAGAGCGGGAACUCGCACUGGGCUCCAAAGGCUUCAGGCGGCUAUCCCUGAAGCCUGGAGAGUGAGAGGGGGCGGGGCGCACCGACCCCUCGCACUCUCCCGGCUUCCGCGAAAGCAACACGAAGCCUCUGGAGCACGGAGGGAGCGCUCCCUCUGCGCGUUGGAGGCUUCAUGUUGCUAUCGCUGAAGCCAAGGAGCCUGCAUUCGCUCCAUAGGACGCACACACAUUUCCCCUUAAUUUUUGGAGGGGAAAAGGUGCGUCCUAUAGAGCGAAAAAUAUGGUAUAUUUAAAAGAAAAACAACACAGCUGAAGGUCAAAGCCCUGACAACACUUCAUUGAGAAAACUGAACAAAGCAGUGUCUGAGGAGAAAUAAACAAAGAUAGUUUGUCUUUCUGAGUUCAGGCCUUGUGUACACAGCACAGAGACAUUCAACCAAACAUAUAGAGGAAAGCUCUCUCAGAACUACACAGCCAAUCAGAGCCCACGCUACCUCAGGGUAGAUCAUGCCACUCCACCAGGUUGCUAAGCAACACCUGACUUUAAAACUAGCAGAAUUAACCCUUAAGUUAUGAAUUGAAUGAUCCCUGCUGUUGCACUUCUAACAAGUAGAUACCAUGCAAUUUGCAUCUGGAGUACACAAGGCUUUCUGUUUGUUUCCACAAGUGUAUACAUUGGGAAUAGGGAACAUAUGGCCCCCCAGAAAUUGAUGGACUCUCAACUCCCAUCAUCCUCAGCCAGCCUGGCCAGUGUAGCUCAACAUCAUCUAUAGGUCUGCAUGGCCCCCCACCCGCCAAUCCCUGCUGCAAACUUUUGAAUAAUCGUUUGUACCAAGAAACAAAUUUAUGUACAUUUAUGAUAGUUGGGUAGGGCAUGCACUGGGUACAUAAAUAUAACUGGCUCCUUUGUCCUGUUGACACAAAAAACCCCCUACUCUUUUGGAAAACACUUUAAAGUACAGUGUUCAGGAAUUUCUAGCUAUAAGGGUUUCUUUUAUAAAACUGUCUCUUUUGUUCCCAGAAAUGCGUGUGUGUCUGUGUGCACCUUUCCUGCCACUGCCAGUGGGUGUCCCAAAUUAUUCUAAAAACAGAUGUCACGAAGACUUUUAAGCUAGGAAGGGAAAGCACCAGAGCUCAGAAAGGAGGUUCUUCAGGCAAAAUUGCCCUGUUUUUCAAAAGGGAAUGUUCGCAGGAGUCCUGAGCCUUGGACAGCAGGAAACAUCAUGAAGUAUUUAGUCUCUUUUGGCAAGCCAGGUAAUUCUCCCUUCAUCAAAGCGACAUUGCAAGGCCGAACAUUUCUCAGCAGAAAGCAGAGAAAUCACCAGCCUGAUUUCCUACCUUAUAUAAAGUGAGUUUCUUCUCACCAGAUCAUGUCGAAGAAUUAGUUCCCUUGUUAUUUUCCCCUGCUCAGUCUUUUAAAUGCUGACUCACAUGGCCAUGUUGCGGGGGGCAGGGGCUCUGUAGGAGAAUGUUAAUGCAGUGUGAGGUCCUGCAAAACCAUCCUCACCUUUGGUCUUAUCACACAACAGGAAAAAUACAUUCAAGCAUCUUUCCACAUACUCUAUUUGCAUCAUAAUUUCUCCCAUAUUGUAUUGGUGGUGGAAUUCAGCCUGAGAGAUGUUGGCUUGCCUGAGGAUGAGUUCUUGGCUGAGUAUUUGAACAUGGGACGCGGGUGGCGCUGUGGUCUAAACCACUGAGCCUCUUGGGCUUGCUGAUCAGAAGGUCAGUGGUUUGAAUCCCUGCGACGGAGUGAACUCCCGUUGCUCUGUCCCAGCUCCUGCCAACCUAGCAGUUCGAAAGCACACCAGUGCAAAUAGAUAAAUAGGUACUGUGGCAGCGGGAAGGUAAAUGGCGUUUCCAUGUGCUCUGGUUUCCGUCAUGGUGUUCCGUUGCACCAGAAGUGGUUUAGUCAUGCUGGCCACAUGACCUGGAAAACUGUCUGUGGACAAACGCCAGCUCCCUCAACCUGAAAACGAGAUUAGAGCCGCAACCCCAUAGUUGCCGUUGACUGGACCUAACCAUCCAGGGGUCCUUUACCUUACCUUUUACCUAUUUGUACAGGUGGCUCCCAAAGUCUCUCAACCAGCACUAUACCACACCAGCUCUUUAACAUGCUAUCAUGUGACUUUGCAAAUACCAAUUGCUCCAUGCUGUUGGUGGUGGCUCUUCUGCCUCAAAGACAUGGCUGCGUGAAUGCUUUCACGUAUAUAUGGAAAAGGUAAAACCUUUACCAUGGGCUUUGAAGUGUCAUGGGCUUUGAAGACACUCAAACUCAGGACUCAAGGGAGAAACGUGGUAGGAGGAAGGCAUGCUUGGCAAAUCCACACCGUGAUCAGCUCCCGCCCGGAAACCUAAGUCCCCACUGUGGAAGGACGUGUGGAUCCAGAAUUGGCCUCCACAGUCACUUACGGACUCAUUGUUAAAACUGUGUUUAUGGAAAACAAUAUUACUCGGCUACAAGUGAUCGCCAAAGAAGAAGAUAUAUAUGUGUGUGUGUGUGUGUGUGUGUGUGUGUGUGUGGAACUGGGGUGGGAAUCACUGAAGGCACACAAGCUGUCAGAGUGAUCUUGCCAAGUCUGACACCUUGGGUCAUUGAAGGCCACCUUCAACAAGAUUUUGUGUGCAUGAGUCUCUUUGCGCCUGAGAUACAUACAGACAUUAUGCGAUUUUCACCUUCUGUGCGUUUCCGCACUGUGCUUCCCUGCAGACCUGGGCAUCUCAUCUUAAAGAGAGGAUUAGGAACAGUAAUAUCAGGACCUACAUGGACCUUCUUUGAGAAAGAUAAGCCACAAUAAUGAAGCUUAGGAUGAAGAACUCUGAUCUACCGGCAGAAUAAGAAGGAAAAAGUCUUAUGCUAUAAG